GCCUCGUUGGCGCAUGUAGGCAGCGCGUCAGUCUCAUAAUCUGAGGGCCGUGAGCUCCGACCCUCACACGGGGCA
rnacentral:tRNA from 1 species